CACCCUUUUCCUUCCCCACCUUAUCCUUUUCCUCUCUUUCAUGCCUUAGAGUUUAUUAACCCGUGCAUAAUUUAUAAUUUAGAAAUAAUUAUAAAUCCCUUAGAAGUUGGAAAUUGUCAUUUUUACUAAGUGUAUCAAAUUGUGAGCUGUUAAGAUUGUUUGAAGCUUCCUGAGAUGGUGUUGGCUCUAACUCUUUGCCUUCCUCUCCCUCAUUUCCAGCCAAUUAUAAAAACCAAACCAAACAAACAAACAAAACAAUAAAAGGAUGUGCAGGAGAUUGCUGUCUUAUCUCUUUGGUUCAAGUAUGGCAGGGAGAAAAGAGAAGAUGCUGCCAAACCACCUUCCUCUGUUUUCAAGCUGCGCAUAUUUUGAGAUGUCAACAAUAGCAUUUGACUUGAGGACAACUCCCUAGGUGCCUAAAAAAUUGCCUGUGGGCCUAAAGAAUUCCCAAAUCGUCACAACAUUCACUCCCCUUGUGAUGACUGGGCUCCCUUUGACUACGCAGGCAAGAGGGAAGCUCUGACAGUGCACGGGUGGGCAGGCAGCCCUCUGGCAUUCAGAAGAAAACAGUAAUCUCAAGAACUGGAUGUACAGAACAUGCAGACUCUUCGGGACCAAUAGGGCUUGCAUCUCUGCUCCCAUGCCUGCACAUCCAGGUAAACUGAGGAACCAGCAAAACCCCAAAACAAAAUCCCUAUUAAAAACAAGUGGACAAGUCCACAAGCUGCUUCACUUCUCAUUUUGCAACUCUCCAUCUCAUGUAUUUUCUUUCAUACCUUACAUACAUUUAGUACUUCAUCUGAUCUCUUCCGACUUCAUACAAAGAUUUAGGGUUUUCCUUCUGAAAACAUUGGAACAUCAUUCAGAAAAAAAAGAAAGAAAGAAAGAGAGAAAAAGAGAAAGAGAGAGAGAAAGAGAGAGAGAGAGAGAGAAAGA